rnacentral:lncRNA from 1 species
UGGCCUCCUUGCAGGAGAAAGGCCCGAAGUUAAUUCCGGCUGGAAUGACCCGUGUCCUCUUUCCUCCUAACUUGAGGAUCUCGCCCCGCAGUGCACAGGAAUUAACUUCGUUUGUGGACACUUGGUUUGAUCCUGCCAAACGUCUGUUCUCCAUCCCUUUGAGACAGUUCUUACCUUUCCCUUCCCCCACCUUGCCUCCGUCACCUGUGAUUUGAAGGAGGCUGAUCCAUCCUCCAUCCCAGCUCCUGUAGCCCAGGCCUGGUCAGCAGCAGCCUUGGCCCUGGACUCAGUGAUGGGUUAGAGAUGGUCUCACGUUCCCUGCCAGGCCAGGAGGCUGAAUUCCAGAACUUUGUGGGAACUGGCAGAAGCAGGGAGCUCUCUCUCCACUGCAGUUGGGAGGCUGGUGCGGUGUCAGCCUGGGAUGGCUGAGAGCAUCACACAGAGAAAACCCUGCAAGUAAAGGCAACAGAUGAAAGCAAGUUAAAGCUGGAGAGAGCCUGAGAGAGGAUGGAAACGACUGCCCUUGAGGUCUGGACAGAGGCUCCCGUUACACGAAAGGGCGCAUGAGUUUUAUUUGUUUUUUCACCUAAGCCAGCUUCAGUUGGGUUUGUCACUUGCCACAAAAAGGGCACUGACAAAUGUAGUUUAAGAAGAGAAGCUGGAAGCAGCAAAUGCUUCGCAAAACCCAGGAACAUUUGCCCUUUCACUUGCUGGAUUCCAUGCUGUCGCUGGAGCGAGAGCCUCUCCAGUCCUGCCCAGCUGAGUCAUCACUGCUGACGCCAGUGGAGGAUCUGGCAGGAGCCCUCUGCUCCUCAUUUGGGCGCCCUCAGGGACAUACACCCAGGGGUGUUCCAGGAAAUUUAGCAGGGAAGAUUAAUUAUCCUCCAUGGAGCAGGAAAUCCCACCGCCUUUCAACAGCCAGGAACAGCAGCUGCUAAACAGAAUUCACUGCAGGACAGUCUGCUUCCCUCCCAGGCAUUUGCACGGGGCCUUCCCAGUCAGAAGGCUGGGCAGGAGCUUGUGCAGAGAGAGCUGGAAUUCUGGGAAAACACGUUCCAUCACCAUGGCUGAUUCGGAGUAAAAGACACAUUAACUAAGAAGCUCAGUCUGCAACCCCGUGUGCAAGAAAGUGACUUUGAAAUCGUCUUUCUAUAAUGGAAAUGCACUUCCGUUUCUUUCUCCCAUCUGCGUCCUUGGUGGAGAGGUCAUCCCAGCCAGGUCAGGGUCUCCUGGAAAAGACAUAUGAAUGUGAGCUGGAUCAGAAAUCCCACCUCCUCCCCUUGCACCCAGGUGUGUGUGGAGCUGGCGGCAGCUGCAGCGAGGGCUGAUUCCUCACCGGCUGGCUCUGUGCAUCCUCCCAGCCCUGGUCCCCAGCCCUCCCGAGGACAGUUCUGCACACUCCCUGAGACCCUUUACAGGAGCUCAUGUUGACCUAAUCAGCCAAUGUCAUCGUUUGUUCUUAAGCAAGGACUCCUCUUGUGUCCCUCCCUUGGUUCCAGUCUGAUAAAGCCUGAGUCAUUUUGGAUCUUUAUAAAUAACCAGGAGCCACUAUACAAAUGUUCUUGGAGAGCAAUGUACCCUGAGGGAACAAAUUAGCAUAAAGGGAAAAGUUUAGCAAUUAUAAUAAUGACCAUAAUGACAUUCAUUGAGUGCUUGCUAUGUGCCAGGCUAAACUCUGUGUAUUUUCUGACUUAUUCCAUCUACUUCGUGUGAUUUUUCCUAUAAUGUAGAUGUGAAAACCAAAGCUAAGGGAGACAAAAUGACUGCAUCAAGGCCACACCCAGUGAGGGUAGAGACAGGACCAUACCUGAGCUAUCUGACUCCAGGCUCUGCAAUGGAAGUGGCGUCAUUCGUCUGGGGUAAUACCCAAGGUUCGUUGCCUCAUGCCAAGGAAAUCAAGAACGUGGACACACAAAGAGUGAGGUUAACAGUGGAGGUUUAAUAGGUGAAAGAAAGAGAAAAGCUCUCUGUCCUGCAGAGAGAGAGGGGCUCCCAAGUGGGUCUUCUGGUCCUGUGGUGAAAUGCAUGGGGUUUUACAGAUAAGCUUGAGGAGGCAGUGUCUGAUUUGCAUAGGGGGCGAGAGAUUGGUCAGACCAGGUGGGCCAUUUGCAUAACACGUGAAGAAGCUGGCCGUCCCACCCUAAUCUUUUAUUAUGCAGAUGGCAUCUCUAUCUGGAUGGUGGCUUGUUGCCUGCUUCUUUACUGUACACGUGGUUGACAAAGAAAAGGGAAGAUGGAGCCUCCAUGUUGAACAUGUCUGGCUCACAGGUAGGCUUUUCGUUUUGGCCCAGCUGCUGGCAUUCCCCAGUGCAAGCUUCUAGCUUGCUUUUCUAUGUCUGCAGCUUGAUUUUUCAGGCUGCUCUUUGUUAGAAAAGAAAUGAUUUGGGGGCUGCUUUUUGUUAAAAGGGAAACCUUGCCAAGGACUCUCUUCUCCUCACUAACUGCCUAAACAAUUUCUUUCUAGCACCUGUAUCACAAUGCUAACUACAACAUGAUCAUCCCCCUCAGGGAAGUACAAGGUUAUUUAAAAGGACCAUCCAGGAAGCCUGAAGUACAUAUUGUAAACCAAAAAUAAAAUUCUAAGGCCUCACCAACUAUCUGGAUGGACUCUUCCUCUCAGCCAAGGGUAUUCCAAAGUUAACCUGAAAACCUAGUUCAGGCCAUGAUGGGAAGGGGGAGCCAGGCAUGCCUCAUGAUACCCUCCUCCCUUCUGGAACUACUGGAACAGACUCAGUGUGAUAAAAAUAAAAAGAGAAAAAAAUAUAUUUAUAGUCCAUUCUCUCUAAAGCCUGCUAACUGGAGGCUUCAUCUGCACAAUAAAACUUCCCUCUCCACAACCCUUUAUCUUAGCCUGGAUAUUCCUGUCUAUCAAUGAUAACUCUUUCAGCCAAUUGCCAAUCAGAAAACCUUUGAAUCCACCCAUGACUUGGAAGUCCCCACUUCCAGUUGUCCCACCUUUGUGGACCAAACCAAUGUACAUCUUAUGUGUAUUCAUUGAUGUCUUGUGUCUCCCUAAAAUAUACAAAAACAAGUUGUGGCCCAACCACCUUAGGCACAUUUUCUCAGGAUCUCCUGAGGGCUGUGUCACAGGACAUUGCUCACUUAUAUUUGGCUCAGAAUAAAUCUCUUCAAAUAUUUUACAGAGUUUGGCUCUUUUCAUUGACAAUGUACACAAACAACAUGGGAGAACCAAAAAUGUGUAAAUAAUUUUU